rnacentral:lncRNA from 1 species
ACAAGUAAAUGAUCACAUAUACAUAGGCAAGAUAUUAACUUGGUAAAAUAGAGCCACUCAGCUGUUUGAGUAGCCUCAUUGAAGUUUUUAAUGAAGUUCUCUUUCUGUUAUUUUAGAACAUCCCUCAUGUUUGCGGGACGGUAUAGUACGGAAAACAUAGUACACAUGCUUCUUGAACUAGGGGUUGAUGUGCUUUCUGAAGACAUUGCUGGACAUUCUGCUAGGGAUUAUGCUCUUCAAAAACGUAAUAUGCAAAAUUACCAACUCAUUUCGUUGUUUCGAGAAAAUGCUGCACUUGAGAAGAUUGUAAAUAGAAAUCCAGAUGAUGAGCAUUCUAAAGAAUAUAGAAAAAGGCUUUUGGAAAUACCUGAUGUUAAUCAUGAACUGCUUAUAUCAUAUGAGGAAGGCCUCAAUUCAUUUGCCAAGAAAGACUUAAUUCCAGGACAUACAACUGCCAUCAUUCACAGUGCACCAGAAGAGCAACCCAAUAACGACAGAAUAACUCGUGUUCAUGGAGUCCAUGAAGAUAACAAAUGUGGAGCAGAAGAUGAAGCUAAAGAAUCAACUUCAGACCCUGAGGAAGGAACGUCAACUAUAGCGGGUAAGAAGAGUAAAAAAUGUUUUUUCAUCACUCAAGUUGCUCCACAACAGCCAAUUAAUAAACAUGGGCUGGACUCUGAUCACGCAUUGGACAAAGAUAACAAACGUAGUAAGGAGUCUACCUCCCAAAGAGAUCCUGAAGACAACAACUCACCAAGGAAUUCGAAGGAAGGAAUGUCAACCUUAGCGAGUAAGAAGGGCUUAAAAGAUAUCGCCAUCACUCAAGUUGCUCCACAACAGCCAAUUAAUGAAUAUGCGUUCAACUAUGAUCGUGGAUUGGACAAUGGUAACAUGGGUAGUAAGGAGUCUACCUCCCAAAGUGAUCCUGAAGACAACAACUCACCAAGGAAUUCGAAGGCAGGAACGUCAGCUGUAGCGGGUAAGAAGAGUAAAAAACGUUUUUUCAUCGCUCAAGUUGCUCCACAACAGCCAAUUAUGAACUCUGAUCACGGAUUGGACAAAGAUAACAAACGUAGUAAGGAGUCUACCUCCCAAAGAGAUCCUGAAGACAACAACUCACCAAGGAAUUCGAAGGAAGGAAUGAGCCUAGUCUCAGAGGUCCUGUGGGAUGUCGAAUCCAAGGAAGGCAGAUGGCAGUCAGGGAGUUUUCUUUGA